rnacentral:sRNA from 1 species
AUGUUUUAUUUCAUUUUCAGGGUCUUAUAAAAUUCUACAGAAGUCCCAGAAACCCAGUGCAUUAAGUGACAUUGACCAGCAAUACUUAAACUAUAUAUUCAGUGUGGUGCUCCUGGCAUUUGCAUCUCAUCCCACAGGUGAUCUCUUCAGCGUCCUGGACUUCCCAUUCCUGUACUUCUACAGAUUCCAUGGUAGCUGCUGUGCCAGUGGAUUUUUGGGAUUCUUUCUCAUGUUCAGUACAGUGAAGCUAAAAAACCUUCUGGCCCCAGGGCAGUGUGCAGCCUGGAUUUUCUUUGCUAAGAUAAUCACAGCUGGCUUAUCAAUAUUGCUGUUUGAUGCGAUCCUGACCAGUGCAACCACGGGAUGCCUCCUGCUCGGUGCGCUUGGAGAGGCCUUGCUGGUUUUCUCAGAGCGGAAGAGCUCCUGAACAAGACGGUCAAGAGAAAGACUCACAGGCUGCUGCAGGAGAACAGCUUGUACACCUGUGUACGAGCCCCUGGUCUCAUAGCUCCCUGUUGGAUGUGUCAGAAAGAGGAACGCAAGGACAGCGAGGCCGGUUGCUACAGAGGAGCGGUCUGUUACAUCUU